GAGGGGACACCGCCCGCCCCGGCGCCCCCAGAGGCGGGCGGGCGGCCGCUCCGCGCUCCCCUCCACGCGGCGGUACCUGCGCUGGAAGUCGGUCCGGAAGGGCGCCAGCGUGUCAGCUGCCGGGUGAACUUCGCGUUCCCACACACGUAAAACCCACCGCACACCCCAGCCAACAUCAACACCCCCCAAAGCAGAUUUGGCAUCAUCAUGACUGCUGGAAUAAAUUUCUCGACUGUUUGAUAGGGUGCUGGCGUGCUCAUAGACAGCUCAGCAAAACAAGACUCUGGGGACGUCCAUGAGUUCUCAUAAACACCGAGUCUGUACUGUAAAAUGUUGCUUUAUCAGACACAGAAAAAUUUCCGAACGUGGUAAGAUUAGUUCAACUGAUCCUAGUGCAGCUCUAAAUGCUGAAUAGCACAGGUAGAUUGCUGUGGAAGUUUUUGACCUAAUAUCAGCAUGUCUCGUUUUUGGAUAGGCCACCAAAUAUCCAAGGCAACUAAUCACCAGGCUGACCAUGCCUCUAGGCCAGCAUUGAGCACUUUUAUUUAAGGUCCAGCAAUUUUGCUUUGUUUAGACAUGUAGUGAGAAAGUUUAUUUAGAGGCCUCUUUUGAAUGCUUUUCAGCCACAGUUUAUGAACUUUUCAGCUUCUAGAUACCUUAACUCGUUCCCACAACCAUCUCCAAAAUUGUUGUCCUCAGUUGGACUCAUCCUCCCUAUCUUGGCUUCCUCUGAAUUUAAGUGCUGUUUCUCCUUCCUGUCUGCCAGGUGACUAACAGCACCGUGUGUGAUGGACACUAACAGUUCAUUUAUUACUUCACCCAAAACUGGCUACAGUGAAAGUUUCCGUAAUGAUUUGUUUCAUCAACAGUGCAUGUACACUUCACUGCACUGUAUUUCCUUCCUUGUAGCAGUUUCUAACUAAACAGGCAAGACCAAAGUACCUUUGUUCCUUUUUUUCCUUGUGGAGUGCAACAAGUAUUCUGUCCAAAGACUGGGUAGGGCAAUAAUUAUACUGUUAGCUAGAGCAGUUGCCCCAACAGAAGGCCCAGUUUUGGUUUGGUUAUUGAAACAAGUAGCAUCUAUGCUGUAUCAGAACUACUUGUCAUAUCCAGCUCUGAUACAUCAAGAUUUCUUUUUUCCCACAGUGGCCACAAUUUCUUCAGUCACUGGAGACUGAAAAACUGUUUUUAAAAUUUCCCAGGCUUCUCAAAACUUUCUGCAUGGCAGUGCUUUCAGUGCCUGAGUUUAACAGCUCUUACCAUCGUCUUUUUGCUUCUUUCCUCAUAUUGUGUGUGUGUGUUCUUCUGCAAAUGUGUCACCCUUACUCUCACACUUAACUAGCGUGGUCAACUAAAAGGAAAAGAUAAAUUCCAGCUUAUUAUCAAGAGCCAGGAAACUGGGUUUUUUACAAAAGUUGCAUGUGCUGCUGCUUUGGGGCUUCCAGGUGUUUAGUACUGGAGAGGGUACCUGCUGUUUGAAGUGGAGGUGGGAGAGCAAUUCCUGCAGCCUUUGAAUGCAUGAGCAUUGGAAACAGGAGUUCCACUCCUUAGCACUUUUUUGUUUGUUUGUUUUAUUCAUUGUCAGGAAGCUCAAGCAAGUUCACAGCAUUGUUAUUAGCUUUUAAGCAUAAACACAAGAGAGACAUCUAUAAAUGAGCAAUUUGUGUAGGAAUGUAGCUGUGGCUUGCACCUCCCUGGAGACAGGGACCCCUUCUAACAUUCAUUUUAAGCAGAAACGACAUAGCAUCCAGCCUCAUAUACAAGCAACCCUGAACUUCAGGAAGUUAAAUUCUGCAGAUAGCCCCUGUCUCUGUAACGGAGAAAGCCCCAAUGAUAUAUUUAACACUCUGUGAACCAGGAUAUGAACAAGCAUACCAUUUGUAUCUACUCAUGUUUCAUUUUACAACUUGGGCAUGAUUUUAUCUGCCUGCUUUGUCACAAUUAAAUCCAAGAUACUAAGGCAUAUGCUAUUUUGAUCAUUGAUUACACCAUGAUCCUGGUGUCCCCACCAUGAGCCGAGGUUGGCUCUCAGGACACUGCCAUUUAGUCCUCUACCUGGAGGCGAAACCAGCAGCUCAGACAAUGAAUACUGUCCCAACAGCUGAAUGUGUCUUUGUGCAUUUGGCAGGGAUGGAUACAAAGCUGCCAGCUGCUGCUGCCAGUGCAAACAGAAAGAGGAGGACUGUUGGGAAUAACUGCUCUUUUAUGUAGACAGCAGUGGAUCAUAUAAGAAUGGUGUCUAAGGCAUGUGUCUCGCACCCAGUUACCAGUGAGGCUGGAGUGUAUCAAUUACUCUAAAGUCAUCUUUCAAAGGAUGUUCAUGCUUAAGUUAUGUAUACUUUAAAUUUUUGCAUAGUGAUGCGAGCAGUAACGGUAUAAUUAAAAUUAUAAAAUCAAUUUAGAUUUUUUUUAAUAUGCAAAGUUCAAAGAUAAAUCUAAAUUUUGAAGAUAAAAAUGGCUGCUCCUACCAUGCAGCACCUCCAUUUUGAUUCACUAAUAUUUUGCACUUAUCUUGCAAAAAAAAAGAUGACAGAGAUGAUAAACCAUAGGAACUAAGUUAAAAAAUCCUUUUUUUGUCAUUAAGGCACUGGUUCAGAUUCUUCCUCAUCAAUAGUGUGUCUGUUCAUAUUUCAACCAGAAUGGAUCUGUGAGGUCUCUGGCCUUGACUGGCUCUUACAGCGCAAAUUUCAGGUUCUUCUAAACCAAGUGGCUUAGAGCAGACCUGGGUCCUGGUCCUGGCCUGGCUCUGUAAGAUGCUUCCAGGCCUGUCUGAGUUGCCUUUGUGGUACAGGCUUCUGUUCUGCAGCUAAUACAGAGACUGCCCAGUCCCACAGUUUAACCUGUCUGAGAAGAGAUGGCAGGUACCAAAGGCAGCAGGAUAUUUUUUAACCCUCUGUUGAGAACAUGUAAGAGUUGCUGGUCUCUCAAAGUGACAAGUCACAAGGCACGUCCUUAGUAUGGUUCUGUUCAAUACUUAAUGGCUAUAUCAAGACUUGUUAUCAUUUCAGUCUGGGCAAAACUCCUCCCAACUCCUUUUCCUGAAAGUCUUUUUACAUCUAGUUAUGGUUGGCCCACUUUGCUUGCUUUCAUGUAGAGAGAUGUUUGUAUUUUUUAUUUCCAUUGCACCUUUCCAUGACUUAAAGAUGAGAGGUAGUCCAUGAGCAAGGACUGACAAGCUGUCACUCAUGCCUAUACUGGAUCUCAUAAUGCGACCUAUCAAGAAAAGGUGUUUCUGUGGACAGAGACAGCUGUUCAAAAAGAUUUAUGCUUCAGUAUUCCAGAAGAAUGGAUUCCUGAAGGAUCCCCUAUCCUUUAAAGAGGUGUCAGACACCUGAGCAUGUUACAGUAUCCAUUGCAACUUCCCACUUUUGGACUGGUUUCUGCACAUUCAGUACUUAACACAAAGUGGACUUCAAAAUUUGUAAGAAAAUUAUCUUGUUUUGCCACAUUGGCCAGCCAUACUUCCCCAUGUUAUUUGUUCAAGGAUCCAUAAGUAUUUAACUGCACAGCUGUCAUCCAGACCCAGUGCAAAUGCCCCCGUUAAAAAAAAUAAUUAUCCUUUAUCUCAGUAGUCUUCCCAGAGGGGUCAAGCAUUGGUUGUGGAGCUGUAGCUUAUUGCAGGGUGGUUGUAGUAGGUGACCUUUAAAGGUCCCUUCCAUAACAAGCUUUUCUGUGAUCCCAUGACACUUAUCCCUAUCUUUGGAUUUGCCAAGGUGAGACACAUAGGAGAAAAGAAAUGGUCAGUGUUGCACAGCUGCAUGACACAUCAUGUCAGUGUUCCAUAAUUAAAACUGUACUUAAGCAAGGAUUGAACUGUUUGAUUACAUAUGAAGAACAAAGCACAUAUCCUUGAAAAUUGCAGCAAACAUUCCAAGUAUACAUUGAUAUAUUUAUUAAUUAGUUCAUAGGCUUAAGAAUUUUAGGGUUGGAAUUUAUAAGAAAAAUAGGGUAUUGAUACUGUCUUUUAAGGUAUUGCCUUUGCCCUGUCAUGGUUUCAGGAGCUUUACAUAACCACACAUCUUGAAAGAUCAAAACAAAUAUACAAUCUGAAACACUAAAAAGCCAGUUUCAGGGUUGUAAGAUUCCAGUGAGCACAGUUGAUGGGAAUGCCAUUUUCACUUACUAUUCAGAGCAAAAUAAAAACACAUUCCAACAACCUGAAAGUCCUAAAUAAUGACUGCUUCUUGCUUUCACAAUAUUGCAGUGUGAUUAUGCUUUGGUGUCCUUCUUUUGUAUAACAGAAUAUCAAAAAAUGUAAAUACCUUUUAAAGUUGUUUACACAUUAAUCAAGGUACUUCAAAGUGUGAUACCAAUUUUAAAAUAUCUGCAGAUGUAGAACAAUAUUUGUUGUGAAAAUGUCUACGAGUCUUACUAAAAAAUCAGGUAAGAAUUUGUGAAACAGUUCACAGAUACAAAAUACAAAUAAAACCUUCAGGAAAUUCAUAAUAUUUUUGGAUGUUGUAGGUACUCUAUUGGUUGUAUGCCUUCUGUAUUUCUCAGAAGUAAUUACUGCCAAUAGUAACAACUUUCUACAACUCCCAGUACUGCUGUUUCCUGUUGUUUGCAUAUGUGUUUAUGCAUUAGGGGAAGACCAUAAAACAUUCUGGACUCUCUCCUUAAUGCCAUACCACACUACUUGGUAGCUGUCACCUCUGUCUUACCAAUGUGUGUUUAUGUGUAACACUUAGAAAAUAAGUAGCUUGAGCUCUCUGGAUAGUUACCCCAGAGGAACAUUCUUGCUAUUAUUGCUGAGGCUUUUUUAACAAUGUAUUGCUAUUAAACAAGCAACUUAUUAACACUCACCAAAUAUUGUAUGCUUUAUAUCCAAUACACUUAGAACUGAGAAUGAAACCCCACAGCAACAGCAGCAAUUUUGCUUUCUUGCUGUUCAUUUUCAGGUCUUUCCUAAAACGCCUGAGGAAUUAUAUUACCUUGGGCAUUUCUUGGCUGCAUAGUCCCAUAUUCCUCCCUGAAACACUACAGGCAUUUAGGCGGCCUGGCCUUUUACUCAGAAGAGAAAGUGAGGUUGCCAGAUAAUCGUUCAGAGGGUAACACAUCUAAUCCUUUGGGAGGUCAAGUGAGGUGAGAAGAAAGGAGGAGAUGGAUACUGCUAAUGCUCUGACAGCUCUGUCAAUAUAAAUUCAUUAGUAUGUAUAGAACUAUUUUAGUUUUCAAAAAGCAGAAUAGUAUCUCAGUUGUAUUCAUAAAUUCAAGUCUAUCCCGACUUCACCACAGGAAGAACAGAUGAAUCUGGUGCAAACUGUGUGUGAAAUGCAGAACUUUUGGAAGUCCAAAAUGCUUUCCACAGACAGUUUUUUAGAUCUUAUCAGUAUUAGUUCUGGUUUACUUUUUAAUGGCAGUCAGUGGCAUUUGACCCAGUUGAUUCUCAGGUGCAAUCACCAGUGUGUUGAAUGAACAGAAAGAUGGGACAGGGACCAGAUCCUUAGUGCUACACUCAAAAUCUUUUUAUAGUCAGAAGAAAACACCAAAUGUGGAACUAAGAACUUCUUGUUAGUCCAAUGAAUACUUUAACAGUAUCAUUUUUCAAAAUAUUGGAUUCAUUUGAAAAAAAAAAACCAAAAACAAAACCCAACACCCUUAUUAAUAAUACAUUUAUAUAUACAUAUAUGCAAUGCAUACUUGUUAUACAGAAAAUGCUUUAGCACACAAAAGGGUCUGAGAGUAUAAUUAUGUAUAAUUAUACAACCACUGAGCAACUAAAAUUACAACUGUAAGGUGUAAAGCUAAGCUCAGGUUUCUGUAGAUAUUAGAGACCACAGUCUUACUUUUAAAGUAGUGGCGUUAUUUAUAGCUUUACAUUUCAUAUGUGCUUGUCAGUGUGCAUUUUACACACUCUGAGAUGGUGCACAGUGAUUUCUGAAUGUAUCCGAACGUAACUGGAUCCUACAUAGAUAACUGCACAAUGACUGGAGCUAUUUCAUAAUUACAUCUUUGUCAAAUUCUGAUCUGAGCAUUUAUCAAAACAUGGGAAACUAAUUUCCUUACAUAGAUAAUGCAUGUUUUGAGCCGUUGUUUUUCUGGAAUCUGCCUAAAGACACUAUGAAGAACAUCUAUCAUGUUCAAUUACCCAUCUUCACAUGCACGUUUCUCAUCUCAGAAAUGCUAUACCUUUAGAUCUCCAAAGUUACCUGAAUUAAUUGAAUAAUCACAUAAGGUCAUGUACUAUAAGUCGCAUUUUGAUACCCUAUCAGUUUAGGGACCCAUAGUUUCUACUAUUUCUGUCUUGGAAUAUCCCCAGUACAAUAACUGAAGGUGUAGCCUUCACAAUCCCAGUGAUACAGAGCUACACUUACAGGUGUGCAAUCCGUUGCCAUAGGUGAUUGUAUUGUAUGCAAUACAAUUUUCCAUAGAAAAAUUUUUAUGCCUCGGUGAUUCACCUUUUCCUCUUAGAACACUCAAAACUCUACAUUUCUAUAAAUACAGAAAUCUUCAUCCAAGACAAAUAUGUACACACAGACAUUUUUGUUAGUAACAUCAAUAUUCAUGGAUUAGGAAGAACUAAUCUGUCUUCACACAGGUUUUUUCUUGCUUAGAGAUAAAUCCUUUAGGUUGGAUCCUUUUUCUCUUAUUAGAAAGGUUUAUAUCAUGCUUGUUUUUAAAAUCAGCCAUGGCAUUUCUGUUAAAAGAAAAGUGGCAUGACUUUCACUUUUUCCAUAUGUAGGCAGCUUAAUAAAAUUAUGCAGUAAAGAAAACUAAGGGAUAUGCAGCUUACAGUGUGAGUACAUUUGGAAGGGAUUGCUUAAACUGCGUUAUCUGUGGGAAAUAAAAAGAGCAAAUAUAAUUAAUAGUUAUCUUAGUUACCCAGGCACCCAGCACCUCCCUCAGUAUGGGUUUCUGAGGACAUACAGGAUUAUUAGCUGCAUUUCUGUUUCCUGAAUAUUUUAUGUUGAAGUAUGUAGUAAUAAAACUUCAUUACUACUUAGUAAAAAAAUUUUCUUCAUAUUAUUAGGUAACUUUCAUUAGAUGACAAUUCUUUGCAAUGAACAGCUAAAUAUUUAUAUUUUAAUCCAAAUAGCAACCUUCACUGGUAAUGUAUUAAUUACUAUCAUGUAUUAUAUGGGUAAAUUUUGGUUUUCCAAGUUAAUGCAGUCCCAGUUCCAUUAGAAUAGUUUAAGUGCUGAUGGCUCUCAGUCAGUUUUCCUCAAUCACCCUUCCUUUUUGAUGUAUCUGAGCCUUCUGUUUAUCUCUCAAAAUUCUCUCUGGAUGUUGUAUUCCAUUACCUAAUCCUACUCAAAAAAUGGUUAAUAUUGGUGCCCAAUCUCAUUUGAGCUUGAGCAGCCACUUGGUGCAGGUUUCCUCACUCUUGUACCAUCAGCUCCUGCAGCAAGGCAUCAUCACACAUCAGCAGUCCCCCUGCUCACAGCAGUUCUGAAUUCUCCUGCAUGAAUAUCCAGCUUCUUUGGUUCUUUCUGCAUUAUAUUAUCUUCUCAGGCAGCAUCCAGGCUCUUCAUUUUCUGCUUGUCCCGUAGUUCCGCCAGGAAGGCAGGCCAUCCCCAAGUGGGGAAGUUCACCUUGGUGUCUGUAAAGGUGGGGCAUAAGCAAUUAAUUGCACUUUUCCUUAUGGCACUCUUCAGUUAGUGAUCUGCUAGUUCCAGGAUUGCAUUCCUUCCCCAGUUUUCUUCUGUUGCUUCCAUGUGUGUUUGUUCUUGGUCUGACUAUUUCCUUACUGCACUAUUUCCUACCAUUGCAUGUGUGCAUGGACUACUUUUCUGCCUCUUUUCACUUUGUCAUCCCCCUUUUGCCACUUUUACCAGAGAAGAUUAUAUGAGAGUGAAUGCUGACAAAAAGAAAGAGCAGAUUUUACAGCAUCUGAGUCAUGCAUUCUGAUGGACUUUUUGUUUGUUUUUCUCACUUGCUAGUAUUUAGUGUCCCCUAGAUCACUUCUUCCCUUAUACGGCUUGCUAGCUCAUUCUGUACUGUUCCAGUGUCUACUGACCUUAAAACUGAAUGCAUUUCUGUGUCCAGGACAUCCACUACAAGUCUUAAAAUACACCCUGGUCAUAAUUCAAGGCUGGCCUGUCUCAACCACAUAAACUUCCAACAGAGACUGACAGCUUUUUCUGGUCCUAAUACAUCUCUGCUUUCUUUUGGCUUGUGAUCCAUCCUCAGACAAUACAAUCUGUCACAUUCUGGGCCUCCUUUUCAAACUCAUACAGUGUUCAAACUCAUACAGUGUCACAGCAGGCAGUUGCUCCUGCAGGAAGAGCUGGUUUGCAAGAAUCUGCAUCUCCAAGACUUAGUCCCUGCUGAAUGUACCGUUCCCUCAGCUCAGCCAUUUCUUCUACAAAAGGAGAGGAGGGCAGGUAUUUCUAGGGGCAGAGUGGGCAUGUGUAGUAAGAGGUUGGAUUUGGUUUUCUCCUUCCUUGAUUCCUCUGUCAGUCUACCUGAUUUUGUACUUUACAGGUAAAGCCAUAACAAAAACUGUCUCUGCUUAGCUGGGUCAUGAGAAAGGGGCAGAGACAGAGGUCUCUGAUCACAGAGGACUAUGAUCAGAGGCUUUUAAAGCAAGUAUCAGUUUCCAUUCAGUGUCCACCUAUCAGCAGCUUUCUCUGACUGCCUUCUGUUUUCUCCUCUUUCUCUCAGAUUUUCAACAAAGUUUCCUUUGUCCCUCACAAAACCUGCCACUUACCAGCGCAAGGCUUGGCUGGAGUGAGUCAUAGCCAGAUCAUAAAUUGAUGUAACUACUGUUUCUCUGCUUUCCUUGGAUCGUUAGUGACCCUGAAGCACCUGGGUUGCCCAAAAUUCUUUUAUUUUACAGUAAAUGGGAUAAUUGCCAGAACACAGGACUGCACGCCUCUGCUACAUUCAUUCCAAGUCUUCUAUGGUGACUGUAGGCUUUCUUGUACAAAAGUUUUUGCAGAGGCUUGGUUAUUCACCAGCCCAACUAGAAGGGUUCACAGAUGGGUUUUCCCAUGUCUUCCCCUGACUUGUUACACUGAAAAUCUUCUUUUCUACACCACAUACACAUUGCUAAGAAUUUACUAAGAAUUUGUUAGUCCAGUAAAUAUUGUAACAGUAUAAAUUAUCUGAUUAAUGCAGAAAUGCCCCAUUUUUCUGAUGUUCUGGUGACCCUUCCAGUGUGCCUCUAAGUCCUGAGCUUGUCAGUCUUCCUGAUGCAGACAAGAGACAGGACUUGCUUUAUACGUCAUCAGCCCCUGAGGCCUUCACAAGAACAGUGAUGUUCACACUGAGGGAUUCCAAUUCCUCAGCCUUGGGUAAAUUUGCUUUUAUUUUUAAACCUUUUCCUUACAUCAUCUGCUUCUCUCUUACCUAUUUCCCAGCCAGUCUGAAUAUUGCACAAUAUCUUCACUCCAGGGCUCUCAGAUUUCUACCAUUCUCUGCAAUUUUAUUUCUCUAUCACUCAACCAUUUACUUUACUAAAAUCAGUAGUUUCAGCAAUAUAAAACUGUAAUUCCUUAGUGGAGAAUCCAGGAGACAAGUUAGAGACAGGCUGAUUUUUCAAAAUCACAGUAGUUUUGCUGAAAUGCACAGUCAGCAGAGCUAUAUAAAACUGGAGGUCACUGCAUUGUUAAGUUCAAAUUUGUCAUUGAGCUACUCAAGAAAAGCAUCUAUAAAUGGAAGACAUCAUGAAUGUUUAUACUAUUCAAAGGCCUGUUUUACAGCCUGUCUGCAAUUCAGUAGUUUGUCAAUAUAGAACAUGAAAAACUUAAGCCCAAUAUCUCUUCCAAUUUAUUCUGCUUUUGUAGAAUUUACCAAAUUUAUGUUAAAAUCCCAACAGAUGUUACAACAAAAAUUUAUAUCCAUGGCUUUUGGGGCCAUGAGCAAAUCAGCUCAUUGUGCAAUAGUCUUACAUUAGCCAACUGUUGAUAAAUAUGCUGUAGAAAUACUUAAGUAUUCAAAAUGCUAUGUCCUGCUAAAAAAUAACAAAUAUUUUUAUGUCUUCUUUUAUUCCAGCUCUUUUUCCUCAAAGAAUUUGAAAUAUGAAUAAUUGUGGUGGGAUAAAUGAGAACUCGUGGACCUGUAGGGAUUCUGAGUCUCUGGAACCCAUCUGCCAUUUGCUUUGUGCCAUCACAGAAUCUCGUAACACAAUAUUCCAGGCAAAAUUGCCAUUACAGAUUUAUGUUAUUAUACGUUGUUAUAUAUCUUAUUAUAGAUAUAUAAUACAUUGUUAUAUAUAUUAUAUGAUUGUUAUAUACAUUAUUAUAUUUAUAAAUUGUUAUAGAUAUAUAUUUUUGCCUUAAUACCAACCUUCUAUAAAUUUAACUUUUUUUAAUCAGUGAUACAGUUCACUGUCUGUGGUCAGUCAAGCUGAUCGUAGUCAAGGAGUAGCCAUAAUAGUACUCUCUAGUAGGAAUAGUACACUAUAAAUUAGGAAUCUUUUCAGAAGCCCUUCAUGUCUUACCCUCAUUAAGCUUAGUCUCAUAAACCAGACUAAGUCCUCUCCUGAAAUUUUUCUGGUUGUAAUUAUCUGGUUCUUUUACUGUUUAUGGCUAAGGAAUCAAUUUAUGCAAAUAAAGAGAUUUCUUUAUUCAUAAGAUAAUUGUCCACACUGUUAGAAUUAUUUGUUCUAUCUCCUCCUUCCACUGUUUCAGCUGCACACAGUUAAAAUAACGAAUUACUCUUAAAAUUCACGAAUUAUCUGUUGCUUCUUGACCUAAGCACUCCUUCAGCUGUGUCCUCAGCAGCUCCUGUGUUGUCAUCUGAUUCAACACAUGCACAAGGAACACUUACAAAGGGAGCUGAGUCAUUCUCUAAAUCUGGACCGUCGUCCUCUGAACACAAAACCUUCCUCUGCAGGACCUAAGGGCAAGUAUUAACUGUGUCAUGUUGCAUAGGAUGUUUUAGCUUCUCUGACUUUAAAUUACUUCUGUGUCUAACUGAAAAGCACAUAAUUUAGCUGCAUCCACCAAAAUUUUCUUUGUGUCAUUUGUGUUACAUAGUGCCAAAUACUCAUUUAUCUUCUUACUUCUGUGUGCUUUUAUUUGUCAUUUCAAAACAGACUCACAUCUUCACUGGACUGGUUUUUAUACAUGUGUGUAAUUUCUGUGAAUUUUGACUACUUUGCUGUCAUUCAGGAACCCUUGAGUCGCAAGGAACGUAACCUUCUGUACAAUCAAAUUGUUAUUCCAAUCAUACCAUUAAAAGACACUCACUGUGAAUAUCAAUCUGACUUAAGUCAUCUGAUAUACCUAACAUUUAAAAGGGCUGACAAAUGAGGGCAUGUAUUAGGCACACUAAAAGUGAGGAUAAAGCAAGACCAACUGUUCAUUUCUUAUUAUUUUCUUAGCACUAUAAAAUAUCAUACGCAUUCUUUGCAUUUUUCAAUGGAUGGACUUGUUCUCAGUCUUAUCUCUGUGCUUGCCAAAAAUGUGUGUUCUGGUAGGUUGAAACCACUCUAGCACUACUACAAGUGAUUAAUACUAGGAUUUUUUUCAGGUUUAUGUCCAAGUUGCUGGGUUACUUGCAAUUCUGAACAAGAUUUACAUGAAGACUUGUUAAGAGCUCUGUAUCUGAGUUGUAUUACAUUGCUUGAAAUAAAGCUUUUAAGCCGACUUCUCCAGUAUAAUUGUUUUCGUGGUUUAGGAGUUUUCAUGCUAGCUCUGUUUUUAUAAAUACUGCCUUUAUUAAAUUUGUAAGAUCCCAAAGUAAUACUUUUUGGUUUAGGUUUAUUUUCUUGAUUUAUGUGCUUGCAUGUGUAUCUUCUCCCUCUCUCUUUUCUAGUUCUUUUUUGACUUAACAUUGAUUUUUUUCCCCAUUAUUUUACAGUAAGUCGUGUGGCAUUGACAUCCCUAAGGAAUUUAAAGUUACAUGGAAGAAAAUUGAGUAGCAUAUCAAUGGAUGAGAUAGGCAUGAUGGUUUCUCCACAAUGUCAUUGCAUGUUGAUGAAGGGACAGGACUGUGAAAUAUGAGAUGCAAGUGUCAUCAAAAUAUUACUCUGGUUUUGCAAGGAGCCGCACAAGGAGCCAUUCCUUUUCUGCAAAAGGAAGGCUUGAGUAUUCAUAACUGUAAAAACAAGCACCAACACUGCCUGCAACAGAAAAAUAAGUGCCAUAUGUUUCCUGGUUUUCUAAUUUCCUUUCUAUGCCGUGAAGUAUAGAUAUUCCUAUUAAUGUAAAAAAAAGGCAAUCACCUCUUGUCUCUGUUUUUCUUAAAUCUAGAAAUGUUUUGCAAAUUUAACGUGAAACAGUCAAAUGUCUUGUCCUGUUUUUUCAUUUUUAGAAUAAACUGAAGUAUUUCAGCUUUUGGUGUCCGUCCUGCUUGUUCACAUGAUUUCAUUUUUAUAUCAGGGUACUGUUUUUCAUAAACAUCAAGACCUUUUCGUACUGAGGAACUGAGAUGGAUGUCCAGAGUUUGUGAAGUGCCAAAUGUGUCACUUGUGGGAUAACUGUCAGAGAGGAAAGGCAAACAAGGAGCUGCUGAGCACUGGGUAGUGACAGUGCUUGCCUAAAAUCCAGGAGGAAGGAAUCCUCACACUCUCCCUGUUCCAGCAUGGGGUUCCUCCCAUGGAAGACAGUUCUUCACAGUCCUCCAUAAUCUUCUCCAAAGGGAGUCCUUCCCAUGGGCUGCACAAACUCUUCCAGUGUGGAUCCUGCCCAUGGGCUACAAUCCUUCAGGAACAUACUGCCCCAACACGGGGCCCCUGUGGGGGUCACAAGUCCUGCCAGGAAACCUGCUCCAGCAUGGGCUCCUUUCUCCACAGGCUCACAGGUCCCUGCCAGGACCCUGCUCCAGUACAGACUUCCCAUGAAGACACAGCUUCCUCCAGGCAUCCUCCUGUUCUAGACUCCCUGGACUGCAGGUGGAUCUCUGCUCCCCCGUGCCCUCCACGUGCUGCAGGGGCACAGCUGCCUCACCACGGUCUCACCA